GAUCCUGGCUCAGGAUGAACGCUAGCGGCAGGCUUAACACAUGCAAGUCGAGGGGCAGCAUAAUGGAUAGCAAUAUCUAUGGUGGCGACCGGCGCACGGGUGCGUAACGCGGUAUGCAACCUAACCUUUAACAGGGGGAUAACACUGAGAAAUUGGUACUAAUACCCCAUAAUAUCAUAGAAAGGCAUCUUUUAAUGGUUGAAAAUUCCGAUGGUUUAGAGAUGGGCAUGCGUUGUA
rnacentral:rRNA from 1 species